rnacentral:rRNA from 1 species
CCCUUAGAUGUUCUGGGCCGCACGCGCGCUACACUGAUGCAUUCAACGAGUUUUUCCUGGUCCGAGAGGAAUGGGUAAUCUUUUGAAUGUGCAUCGUGAUUGGGAUAGAUGAUUGCAAUUCUUCAUCUUCAACGAGGAAUGCCUAGUAAACGCAAGUCAUCAGCUUGCAUUGAUUACGUCCCUGCCCUUUGUACACACCGCCCGUCGCUCCUACCGAUUGAAUGUUCCGAUGAAUACCAUGGACUGAGAGUAUGAAUGGGUUCGCCUAUUUCUGCUUCUCGGGAAGUGGAGUAAAUCUUAACAUUUAGAGGAAGGAGAAGUCGUAACA